GACGAACGCUGGCGGCGUGCCUAACACAUGCAAGUCGAGCGGAGCGGCGGACGGGUGAGUAAUGCCUAGGAAUCUGCCUGGUAGUGGGGGAUAACGUCCGGAAACGGGCGCUAAUACCGCAUACUAUCAGAUGAGCCUAGGUCGGAUUAGCUAGUUGGUGGGGUAAAGGCCUACCAAGGCGACGAUCCCUAGCUGGUCUGAGAGGAGGACCAGCCAAACGGGAACUGAGACACGGUCCAGACGCCUACGGGAGGCAGCAGUGGGGAAUAUUGCACAAUGGGCGCAAGCCGGAUAGAGCAAUGCCGCGUGUGUGAAGAAGGCCUUCGGGUUGUAAAGUACUUUCAGCGGGGAGGCGUUACCCGCAGAAGAAGCACCGGCUAACUCCGUGCCAGCAGCCGCGGUAAUAC
rnacentral:rRNA from 1 species